rnacentral:rRNA from 1 species
UCCAGACUCCUACGGGAGGCAGCAGUGAGGAAUAUUGGUCAAUGGGCGGGAGCCUGAACCAGCCAAGCCGCGUGAAGGAAGAAGGUCUUCGGAUUGUAAACUCCUGUCCUUGGGGACGAUAAUGACGGUACCCAAGGAGGAAGCACCGGCUAACUACGUGCCAGCAGCCGCGGUAAAACGUAGGGUGCAAGCGUUGUCCGGAAUUACUGGGUGUAAAGGGAGCGCAGGCGGAUUGACAAGUUGGGAGUGAAAACUACGGGCUCAACCCGUAACCUGCUUUCAAAACUGUCAGUCUUGAGUGGUGUAGAGGUAGGCGGAAUUCCCGGUGUAGCGGUGGAAUGCGUAGAUAUCGGGAGGAACACCAGUGGCGAAGGCGGCCUACUGGGCACUAACUGACGCUGAGGCUCGAAAGCAUGGGUAGCAAACAGGAUUAGAUACCCGGGUAA